GCUGCAUGGCUGUCGUCAGCUCGUGUCGUGAGAUGUUCGGUUAAGUCCGCUAACGAGCGCAACCCUCGCUGUGUGUUACAAGUGUCACACGGAACCUGCCGGUCAUAAACCGGAGGAAGGUGGGGAUGACGUCAAGUCAGCAUGGCCUUUAUAUCCUGGGCUACACACACGCUACAAUGGGAAGGGACAAUAGGUUGCGAAGCCGCGAGGUGGAGCCAAUCCAGCAAAACUUCCCUCAGUUCAGAUUGCAGGCUGCAACUCGCCUGCAUGAAGUUGGAGUUGCUAGUAAACGCAGGUCAGCCAUACUGCGUUGAAUACGUUCCCGGGUCUU
rnacentral:rRNA from 1 species